GUGGGUGAUUAUCUAUGUUGAUUGCUUGUGUCAUCACAGUUCUCAUUUAGCUUCACGGUUGUUAUUUGUUUUUGUAUUCAGUGUUCAGUACUUUCUUUAAUUAAAUAUUGAGAUGAACACAAACCACGCCGCGUUUUGGUCUGCCUUUCCUUCAACAGAAGAAUCCCGUGACAAGUAGGAUCUGCAGACAGCACUUCGCAGUGGCAGACUUCACGAUGAAGGGCACUUUCGACCAACCAAGAGUUUUCAAAUGGAAAGGAGUCAUAGGCCUACGUUGAAGCCCUCUGCUUAUGCCGCUAUUUACAAUUUCGAGGGUUAUGGUGUAGGGGUUACCGACCGACCAUUAUCAAACAUCGCUGACUUCGGAGUCAACCAAAAGCGACUGAAUGGAGGAGUCUACACGAGUCAAUGCAAUGGAGCCUGAGGUUUCACCCUGGUUCUAAGCAGAGGAGGAAAGAACGGUUAGUACAGCAUGCCAAACUGACCUCUGGGUGCCAGAGUGUUCCUGUGCUGCGGUGAAGAGGUCCACCGGGACCAUCACUAAAGAGCUCAGGGCCCAGCUAGAUUGCACUCACAACCAUCAGCAUCAGUCCUGCCCCUAUACACCACAGAUGGAGCUGACGGAGAGAGAGAUCAGUGAAGACCAUAACUCGAUGUAUGAACCUGAGAGCUCAGAAUCACAAUCUUCACCUCAUCCUGAGGUGUUGAACUGUUGCACCCUCUAUAACCACUGUGGUUCUUAUUUUGAUGUAAAAAAGGGCUUUUGUAAAAUGCAUUUGAUUGAUUGUUUGCUGUGCUGGAUGCUGUGUAUUCACUAACACCCUGAGUGAUGGGACAUUUGUAUAGUAUCUGUAACAUAUUUCGGUGUGUAUUUAAUCUCCAUCUUAACGUCUUAAAGUGGCAAUCAGCAGUAGAAACAAUAACAAAGUGUCUCCCUGCUCCUCUUUCGGUAAAAAGCUGAGGGACGGGGCUGGAGAAAUAUAACCACUCUCAAAUUCAUAGACAGAGCUAUAGAUGCAAGGACUGACCAUCCAUUGACUGUAUGUUUUGUUUAUUCCAUGUGUAACUCUGUAUGUGUCAAAUUGCUAAGCUUUAUCUUGGCCAGGUCGCCGUUGCAAAUGAGAGCUUGUUCUCAACUAGCCUACCUGGUUAAAGGUGAAAUAAAAAAUAAAUCCAUGAUAUCAAAAUUGCAA